GUACACGAGCGGCGAACGGGUGAGUAACACGUGGGUGAUCUGCCCUGCACUUCGGGAUAAGCCUGGGAAACUGGGUCUAAUACCGGAUAUGACCACAGGCUGCAUGGCUUGUGGUGGAAAGGUUUACUGGUGCAGGAUGGGCCCGCGGCCUAUCAGCUUGUUGGUGGGGUAAUGGCCUACCAAGGCGACGACGGGUAGCCGACCUGAGAGGGUGACCGGCCACACUGGGACUGAGACACGGCCCAGACUCCUACGGGAGGCAGCAGUGGGGAAUAUUGCACAAUGGGCGAAAGCCUGAUGCAGCGACGCCGCGUGAGGGAUGAAGGCCUUCGGGUUGUAAACCUCUUUCAGCAGGGACGAAGCGCAAGUGACGGUACCUGCAGAAGAAGCACCGGCUAACUACGUGCCAGCAGCCGCGGUAAUACGUAGGGUGCGAGCGUUGUCCGGAAUUACUGGGCGUAAAGAGUUCGUAGGCGGUUUGUCGCGUCGUCUGUGAAAACCCAUCGCUCAACGAUGGGCCGGCAGGCGAUACGGGCAGACUUGAGUACUGCAGGGGAGACUGGAAUUCCUGGUGUAGCGGUGAAAUGCGCAGAUAUCAGGAGGAACACCGGUGGCGAAGGCGGGUCUCUGGGCAGUAACUGACGCUGAGGAACGAAAGCGUGGGUAGCAAACAGGAUUAGAUACCCUGGUAGUCCACGCCGUAAACGGUG
rnacentral:rRNA from 1 species